rnacentral:rRNA from 1 species
UACGUAGGUGGCAAGCGUUGUCCGGAAUUACUGGGUGUAAAGGGAGUGUAGGCGGGACUUCAAGUCCGUUGUUAAACCGAUCGGCUCAACUGAUCGCUGCGGCGGAAACUGAAGUUCUUGAGUGAGGUAGAGGCAGGCGGAAUUCCCAGUGUAGCGGUGAAAUGCGUAGAUAUUGGGAGGAACACCAGUGGCGAAGGCGGCCUGCUGGGCCUUAACUGACGCUGAGGCUCGAAAGUGUGGGGAGCAAACAGGAUUAGAAACCCUCGUAGUCC